rnacentral:rRNA from 1 species
UACGUAGGGGGCAAGCGUUGUCCGGAAUCAUUGGGCGUAAAGCGCGCGUAGGCGGCCAGACAAGUCCGGUGUGAAAGUCACAGGCUCAACCUGUGAAUGCCGCUGGAAACUGUCUGGCUAGAGUCCGGAAGGGGCGAGUGGAAUUCCUGGUGUAGCGGUGAAAUGCGCAGAUAUCAGGAAGAACACCUAUGGCGAAGGCAGCUCUCUGGGACGGUACUGACGCUGAGACGCGAAAGCGUGGGGAGCGAACAGG